UUUUUUUUUAAUUGAAGUAUAGUCAAGUUUACAAUGUUGUGUCAAUUGCAAGGUUUUUUUUUGAAUUUUGAAUUAAAAAAUAUUUUUUCAGGAGGGUAAUUAGGUUUAUUUAUUUGUUUCAUUUUUUAAAAUGAGGUACUGGUGUUUGAACCCAGGACCUCGUACAUGCUAAGCACGUGCUCUACCACUGAACUGUACCCUCCUCCCCAAGGCAAGUUUUCUUAUCCAUUAUUCUGAAGCUUAGGAGUUCAAAUAAAUUGGAUAGAAAACCAGAUCUUUUGAUCCCACUGUAGUCCUUUUCUUUAUAUUCUGCUGAAGGAGGUUGGGGAAAGCACUUCCUUUGUUCACUUCCUUAUUCAGCAUUUUUCAGCAGUGACUUUGCAUCAGGGCCUUGGUAGGUGCUUGGAAACAGAAAACAAGAAAUGACCCUUCUCUGCAGGGCAGAAAGCCUAGACCAAAAGCUGGGUAAUGUGAUCCGAGCUACGGUAGCCAUUUGAAGACUCUGAGGACAAACUGUACCCCCGGAUUUACUUGAGCUUCCCUUGCCUUCUGCUUGGUACACACCAGGUCACCACAACCCAGAUGGGCCUGCAGCCCACAGUACAGUAUGUACCUCGAUCUCCUCUCCCCUCUCGUCAGGGCCUGCAACAUGAGCAUCCCUGACUACGAGCAGUGUGCUGAGGACCACCAGACUUUCCCCGUGGUGGUCGAACAGGUGGGGAUCAUCUCAGAGGAGAAUUUCUUUUGCAUCUAUAAGUGAAUCACCUUGGUGAGUCAGAUCAGUCCGUGCGGCUCCCAGUGGGCAAACUGUAUCCACUACAGGCACCACUAUGCGCCCAAGAAUGGGUGGAGCGACUUCCAGACCCACCGCAAGGUCUUGGGCCUUGUCAUCAUUACUGACUGCCUCUCGGCCAAGGCUUCGAAAAGCUCCACGUGCAGAGGAGCUGUAUGGCACCACGCUCUAUGACUCUCAGCUCUUUGACUUUCUGCUGCAUGGGGAGGUGGCCGAGCAGCCGCGCACCAAAGUGGCCUUCAAUUUACGAGGACUGCAGGGUGGUGGAGAAGAGGAUCAAGGACUUCACUGAGUCACUCUUCAUCUUGCCCAAGUCCAAGAGGCUGGACUGUGCAUCCGACAAUUCUGGGGACAAGAUCCUCCUUCUCUGCAUCCCAUUUGAGAAGGAGGACAUCAUGGGACUGGACACAGAAAGCAGUACGUUUUGGUUACUGAGUCCCUCGAAUUCCCAUAUGAAUAGUAGCAGCAGCUAGUCAGUUACUGCAGAGGAGCCCGCUGGGAUUGUGAUCGAGACCACGUUGAGUAUACAGAUCGCUCUGGGGAGCACUGCCAUCCCAAGAGCGCUGUCAUCUGAUCCAGGAAUGUGCGUGGUGUGUCUGUCCAGGGGAAAAGAGUACAAUUCAAAAAUAUAAAGAUUGUGAGCUAAUGAGAUAGACAAGACAACCGAACAUUUGUUAAAUAUCCUUUCAUGCCGGAAACAAAUGUAUUAUACACACAAAAGGCACACAAAUCACGGUAGUACUGCGGUUACAAACGUGGGUCCGAGUUCGAGUCCUGCUCUGGAGUGACCAGUCCUGUGAGAUGGAGAACUGAGUUCUAUGUAUAGUUGGUUACAUUCUAUACCUGGAAAUUUCUCCAAAACUGCUUCCCACGUGCCCUCACCUCCAGUGGCAUCCAUCCAGACACCAGCACUGACACUGGCCGUGCUCACAACUGCCUUAGCCCUGAAGACACAACUGACAAAUAGAAGGGGGCUACGCCCUAAGACAGCAGGUGCUCUUACUUUGUGGGUCCUUAUGUAACUGUGCGGUGUUAUUCAGGAUCGCCCGUUCUACACUUUGUGACGCUGCUGCCGUGUCUCCUAGUUAUUUCUGAUCUGAGAAGCAGGAGCAAGGAACUCAGGGAGAGAUCCAGGAAGACAUCUGACUCUGUUAAGAGACGACAGUCACAGCGACACGGGGAGCGAGGACACUUGCAGCAAAGUAAAAUGACUUCACAACUAUUGCAUCAGAGCUGCAGGUGUGAGAGAGCCUAAGCCUGUCUCAGAGUGCAGGGGACAAGAGGAAAGGAAUGGCUCCUCAGCUCAGAUGUAAGAAAAGACUCUUUAAACUUCUUGAUGCAGCUCCUUAAUGAAGAUCUUGUGAAGGAAACCUACUCAAAACCUGGGAGCCUAUCCUUCCAAAUGUCCAGGAGACUCUUCCUCAGUCUUGAGUUUCCCGCUGAUGUUACCACUGUCUUUGUUUCUGGAGAGGAAAACAAGUCUAAACUUACUUUCCAGUUGGAAAUGGAAUGGAGAGUUAACGUUGGAAGCCGGGAGAGUCUGUCCUGUGAUGAAGCGGUCUCUGAGCCACUUCCAUGGGGACGUCACGUCACUGUCUGGGCCCCUUGCACAGCCUGUGCACAGCAUUCCUAGGAGAGAAUUCAGCAGUGCAGCAUCCUCUCCGAGCUCUAUGAGUUGAUCGGCUUCCACCGCAAGUCCGCCUUCUUCAAGAGGGUGGCCCCCUUGCAGCGCGUGGCCCCCGGCAUUACGGAGCCUGGCGCGAAGGCCUGCUACCGACUCCUUCUGCGGACGCUUCCUGGCUACAGUCUGUCGCUGGAUCUGCAGGACUUCAGCAAAGGUGUUGGAACUAAAACAUUGCUUCAGUCCCAUUAACCAUGCCUGGUUUGGGCCCUGCUGUCCUGUCUCAUCAGGGUGAAUUCUGAUUCGUUUAGAAUAGGGCUCAGCAGACUUUUUCUGUCAAGGGCUUGGGAGUAAGUAUUUCAGGGUCUGCAAACCUCCUGAUCUCUGGUGCAGCUGCUCAGCUCUGCUGUUCAGACGCCAGAGCAUCCGGACAUUCCACACACCCACAGAGCUUUAUUAACAGCGGUGUCUGGGGCUGGAUUCAGUGUAUGAACUGCAGUUUGUCCCCACAGCCUCCUCAUUAUUGACGCCUUCAACAGAGCAUGCAUUUGCGACACUGGGUGAACCUGCACUGACACGUCAUCAUCACCCAGAGCCCAGACUUGACACUAGGAUUUACACUUGGUGGUGUGCACUCUGUGGGUUUGGACAGAUGUGCAAUGACAUGUAUCCACCGUCACAGCAUCAUACAGAGUAGUCUGUCUUAGUGACCUUAAAAUGCUCCGUGCUGCACCUCAUUCAUUGCUCCUUCCCCUCUAGCCUCUGACAGCCACUGAUCUUUUAGUCUCUGUGGUUUUCCCUUUCCCAGAACACCAUACAGUUGGAAUCAGACAGUUGCGGAACCUUCCCAGAUUGGCUUCUUUCACUUAGUAAUAUGCAUUUAAGGUUCCUCCAUGUCUUUCCAAGCCUUGAUAACUCAUUUCAUUUUAGCACCAAAUAAUAGUCCAUUUUCUGGCUGGACCACAGUUAAUCCAUUCACCUACUGAAGAACAGCUUAGUUGCUUCUGAGUUCUGGUGAUUAUGAAUAAAGCUGCUAUUAACAUCUGUA